GAUGAACGCUGGCGGCGUGCCUAAUACAUGCAAGUCGAGCGAACGGACGAGAAGCUUGCUUCUCUGAUGUUAGUGGCGGACGGGUGAGUAACACGUGGAUAACCUACCUAUAAGACUGGGAUAACUUCGGGAAACCGGAGCUAAUACCGGAUAAUAUUUUGAACCGCAUGGUUCAAAAGUGAAAGACGGUCUUGCUGUCACUUAUAGAUGGAUCCGCGCUGCAUUAGCUAGUUGGUAAGGUAACGGCUUACCAAGGCAACGAUGCAUAGCCGACCUGGGAGGGAGGUCGGCCACACUGGAACUGAGACACGGUCCAGACUCCUACGGGAGGCAGCAGUAGGGAAUCUUCCGCAAUGGGCGAAGGCCUGACGGAGCAACGCCGCGUGAGUGAUGAGGGUCUUCGGAUCGUAAAACUCUGUUAUUAGGGAAGAACAUAUGUGUAAGUAACUGUGCACAUCUUGACGGUACCUAAGCAGAAAGCCACGGCUAACUACGUG
rnacentral:rRNA from 1 species